UGGAGAGAAUAGAAAUCUAGGAUUGGUGGAAAAAGUCAGAAGAUGAAGGUAAGGAGAAGCAGUCUGUAGAAAAUAAUUCAGGAAGAAGUUACAAAAGUGUCAUGAUAGUUGUUUCAGGCACAGUGCAGGAGAGGAAGAUAAGGUGAAAGGAAUAGCAGAGAAGAAUGAAUGCAGGUGUGUCACUUGCCUGGUGCUAUCCUGCAUUAGGCGCUCCCUUUUCAGGAGCAGAAGUAAUAGCACAGUGCAUUGCAGCAGAACAUAGAAGGAGAGCAGCACCCAUUGCACAGCUGGGGCUGCACAACGGCUACAGGUCCUUCAGGGGGGCAAAGGAAACUGCCCAUGGGCAGGGAUGGCUGGAGUGACAGCGGGCAGGAGGGAUGAAGAGGAGGGCAGUGAGGAGCUAGGGGAAGCUUCUGUGGGUCAUGGAGAUAGAAGUUUGGCCCUGAGAGGAGAAUUACAAAAUGUUUUGGAGAACGAGGCUUUGAGGCUGACGGUGUUGGGUAGGAAGGAACGGUUUGAAUGAAAGCCCCAACUCAGGAAAAUGGGAAGGGGGAGAAGGAGCUGGAAGAGGGACUGUUAAGUUGCUAGUAGAGUGAGCUGAAGGCAAAAGGAAGGGAUGUAGAUGAGCAAGGGCUGCAGAAGGUGUCAACAGGACGCCCAAGGAUAAAUACAGUUUUGCCUCACCGUGCCCUUCCCAUCCUGUUUUUCUCUCAUCGAAAAAAACCUAUCUCGGCAUCAUCCUCUGUUUUCUAACUUUGAACAAAGCUAGCCCUACCGUGGUGGGUGCGUGUAGCUCCUAAGUAUCAAUUCCUGCUCACUUCCUCAAGUUCUUAAGAAGAAAGAAAAAAGAAAAAAAAGCGUGAGCUGUGCUUGAAGCAUCUUUGAAGCCCGGUCAGCCCGCUCCGACCGGGCUGGGGGACGGGGGCGGCCCGCGGCGCGCACCCAGCCCGGGCGGACACACGCUCCCGCGUGCAGACAAAGGGCGGGGGCACCCCCGGCCCCGACGUGCGGCUCCGUCCCGGAGCCGGGGGGGAAGGGAGGGGGGGGGGGGGGGGAAGAAGGCGGGCCAGCGGGGGGGGGGGGGGGGGGGGGGGGGGGGGGGGGGACAGAAAGUUCGGCAUCGACGGGGCGGGAGGUGGGGGCGCUGCCCCGCGCCUUUGUUCAGCAGGGAGAGGACCCGCGGCGGAGCCGAGCCGACCGCGCAGAUGGGCACGCACCCGGCAGCGCGGCCCUGCGCCCGUGGGACGAGGGGGAGGAGGGAGGCAGAAGGUUCCCCUUGCAGCCUCCCCCACUCUUUCCCUCCCUCCAAGGUGAAAACAUGGCCGUCAGGAGAAUGGAAUCCUUCCAAAAUGUUGAUCUGUGCCAAGUGCCAUACUGCAUUAUCCUUCCAGUGGUGGAAUACAACUUGGGUCUCCUCAGGAGGUGACUGAUGUGGAACAAGCUGUACCACGCAGCCAUGGUGUGAAGACCUGAUGUCUUCACUGUUUGGAUACGUCUGUAAGUUAACGGACUACUGGGAGAAGAUGAAGAGGCUUUUGCAGAAAUCUGAGGAUAUUGUGGGAAAUGUUGCUGCAAACCAUUUGGAUUAUAUUGCUGUCUGACAUGGAGGUUCUGCAGAUGACGUAAGGUAUGCUUCUCCCUGACUGUUGCAAAAACACUUGUCUCAUAUAUAAAAAUACUAAGCACACUGUCUCAGUAAACUCACUUUUUAACUUAAUUUUUACUGUCUUUCCCUUGGUGUUGAGGCCUACAACAGUUUUGAGAAAUGCCUUACUAAUCGUUUGGCAAUGUGCAUAUCUGAGAUGUCGAAAGAACAACUGAGCAUAAAAAUAUUUAUAUUUUUAGAGUUAGCCGAUGUUUUUAGGGUAAUUACUUCAUUGGAUCUAAGGAGCGCUUAGCAUCUCUAGAGAAAAUUGGACUAAUUGACUUUCCUUAAAAAUAAGUUAAAAACAGUUUAAAUAAAGCAUUUCCACAGCUGCCGUCUUCCA
rnacentral:lncRNA from 1 species